AAUGAGUUGAGCCGCCGGCAUAGUUCAUUACUGGGCGACAGGUGGGCCCGACCGGGUUACCUGCUCGGCAUGCACUCGAGCUGCACCGCCUGAUAAAAGUUCAGCAACCAUGCGUGGCUGUAGAAAACGAUUAGCUCAAUAAAUAAAACGAAAAGGCUUGGAGAAAAGAACAGAACGUAGCUCUUAUAUAUGCAAGUAUUGCCGGCUAGUUAGACACAAGAAACACGCCGCGAGUUUCUUGAGAUAAAUGCAUCAAAAUAUCGUAUAUGAGUUUCGGACUGCAUAGUCAUUAGCUUCUCCCAAGCCACUCAUUAAUUGCAGCUCACGUACAUUUAAAUUUAAAUGAAUCCACAGGAAGUUAUAAUCAAAACAUUUAUUGUUUGAGUGGCAGGAAGCAAUUUACCGUCGUUAUCAUUUGUAACAUUUAUGAAUAAGACCUUUGUUCUUAAAAAUAACUUUAAUUACAACAAUAAACAAAUUUAAAUUCA